rnacentral:rRNA from 1 species
GGAUGCGGUCAUACCAGCACUAAAGCACCGGAUCCCAUCAGAACUCCGAAGUUAAGCGUGCUUGGGCGAGAGUAGUACUGGGAUGGGUGACCUCUUGGGAAGUCCUCGUGUUGCGUUCC